GGAAUUUUCCGCAAUGGGCGAAAGUCUGACGGAGCGACGCUGCGUGAAGGAUGACGGCCUGCGGGUUGUAAACUUCUUUUCUCGAAGAAGAAGCUCUGACGGUAUUCGAGGAAUAAGCAUCUGCUAACUCCGUGCCAGCAGCCGCGGUAACACGGAGGAUGCAAGUGUUAUUCGGGAUGAUUGGGCGUAAAGCGUCUGUAGGCUGUAUAGAAAGUCUUUUGUUAAAUGCCUCGGCUCAACCGAGAUCCAGCAAAGGAAACUUCUAUACUUGAGGGAAGUAGAGGUACAGGGAAUUCCCGGUGGAGCGGUGAAAUGCGUAGAUAUUGGGAGGAACACCAAUAUGGCGAAGGCACUGUACUGGGCUUUACCUGACGCUCAGAGACGAAAGCUAAAGGAGUGAUUAGGAUUAGAUACCCCAGUAGUC
rnacentral:rRNA from 1 species